GGUUUGGGGAGGGGAGUUCUGUCGCUGGAAAGAUGGUACCUAGGGCUGCAUAUUAAUGUGUAUAGCAAGCAAUAGGCACCAUCUUCCCGCGACGGAACUCCCCUCUAACCUCUACC
rnacentral:pre_miRNA from 1 species